AUUGAACGCUGGCGGCAUGCCUUACACAUGCAAGUCGAACGGCAGCACGGGAGCAAUCCUGGUGGCGAGUGGCGAACGGGUGAGUAAUAUAUCGGAACGUGCCCAGUGAUGGGGGAUAGCCCGGCGAAAGCCGGAUUAAUACCGCAUACGACCUACGGGUGAAAGCAGGGGAUCGCAAGACCUUGCGUCAUUGGAGCGGCCGAUAUCAGAUUAGCUUGNGGUGGGUAAAGCCUACCAAGGCGACGAUCUGUAGCUGGUCUGAGAGGACGACCAGCCACACUGGGACUGAGACACGGCCCAGACUCCUACGGGAGGCAGCAGUGGGGAAUUUUGGACAAUGGGCGCAAGCCUGAUCCAGCCAU
rnacentral:rRNA from 1 species